rnacentral:rRNA from 1 species
GUUAAAAGCUCGUAGUUGGAUUUCGGAGUGGGCUAGUUGGUCCGCCGCAAGUGUGUUACUGACUGGUUUGCUCUUCUUCGCAAAGACUGCGUGUGCUCUUUGUUGAGUGUGCGUAGGAUUUACGACGUUUACUUUGAAAAAAUUAGAGUGUUCAAAGCAGGCUAUUGCUUGAAUACAUGAGCAUGGAAUAAUGGAAUAGGACUUUGGUCCCAUUUUGUUGGUUUCUAGGACCGAAGUAAUGAUUAAGAGGGACAAUUGGGGGCAUCCGUAU